GCCGUGGUGGUGCAGUGGUCAGCACACCCGACCUGGUAUCCUAAGUUCCUACGCUCGCUCACCUAAGAUCCUAAUACUCUCUCUCAACGGUCGGGAGGUCGCAGGUUCGAAUCCUGCUCACGGUA
rnacentral:tRNA from 1 species